rnacentral:rRNA from 1 species
UACGUAGGGUGCAAGCGUUAAUCGGAAUUACUGGGCGUAAAGCGUGCGUAGGCGGUUGCGCAAGACAGGUGUGAAAUCCCCGGGCUUAACCUGGGAAUUGCACUUGUGACUGUGCGGCUGGAGUGCGGCAGAGGGGGAUGGAAUUCCGCGUGUAGCAGUGAAAUGCGUAGAUAUGCGGAGGAACACCGAUGGCGAAGGCAAUCCCCUGGGCCUGCACUGACGCUCAUGCACGAAAGCGUGGGGAGCAAACAGG